CACACCUGGCUAAUUUUUGUAUUUUUAGUAGAGAUGGGGUUUCACCAUGUUGGCCAGGCUUGUCUCAAACUCCUUUUUUUUUUGCAUCAUCAGUAUAGUUAAGAGCUUUCCAGCCCACCUGUUAAACAUCUUCAGCAGAUGCUUCUGGGAGCUGAUUUUCCAGACUGUAACAACUUUAUAAUUUGAGCAACUUUAAUCAAGAUUCUUACCUUGGCAGAUGCCAGCUUUUUGCUUCAAUUUCAUACCAGGCUCUGCAUACUCUAAAAUAAAGAGCUACUUAAUGGACAGUGAUAUCCCACAGCCCGUAAAUAUUAAUAUGAGUGCCAUUAGUUAGAGUGGAAUACACUCAUUUGUGAAUGUUUUUAAAGAAUAUAAAUGCUAAUUUGUUUUUGCAUUACAGGAUAUAUUCUUAGCAUUUGGAAUCAUUUUGGCUUAAUUGGUAUCAACUCUUCUCACAUAAAUAAAUGAAUAAAUGAAACUCAAAUUGCUAGCCCCCAGUGACACAAGAGAAACUGACUUCUGGUGCCUUUUUAAACCUUUGAGAAGAACCCUUUUGGCUGACACAAUGUGGCUUUGAUGGAGAAUCGUAAACACAAUGCAUGAAGCUUGUUUGUUCCAGAAAAUAUCUCAUUAGAUAUAAUUAAGAUACACAAAAAGGAGGUACUUAAAUUCUAUAGCUUAUUGCCAAUCUAAUAUCUCAGCCAUUCACAAAUAAAUCUCAGUCAUUUUAAUUCAAUUGGGAUUAUAUUGGAAUUAGUAGUUUAGAGUUGAUAUACUGUCUCCCACUGAAAGCUUCCAAGGUGAAAGUCAAACAAAAAUAAAUAAAAAGUGUUAAAUAUAACAUCUUUAGAAAAUACUGUUUGGAAAGAGUAUCUAGUUAAUUAUUUGGCAAAAAAUAAUGUAAUAGUCAUUUUUUGAGGUUUGGUGGUUAAUGUAAAAACAUAUAGAGAAAGCUUACAGCAUUAAGAAGCAUGGAUUUUGGUUCAGGAUUCAGUGUGGCUACAGCACAAGAAAAUUAAUUUAGAUCUUGUGGGCUGCCUCUCAAACACAAUAGCAGACAUUGUUUUUAAAAAGAUAUUACCUAAAUCAUUCAUGCAUUAAAAACUCAAUUAAGAAAAGUUUGUUGCCAAGCAUGAGUUAGCAGUUUUGAGGAUAUGAUGAGGUUCUGAGAUGUAGUUCUUAACAUUGAGUCUUCAGGGAUUUAACAAGUUUCUUUGUGGAGCCCCUCUAUGAUUCUUCAUUUAUUUCAGUACUCUGUCUCUUGCUACAAAUGCAUAGAGUACAAACUUAUGAAUAGUCCACUCACAACAACUAUUGCUAUUUGUCAUGACUCGAGAACUGACACAUGAUCAUAAGAAACCCCAUAAAAACAAAUAAAUGAGUGUCUCUAAGAAGCAGCUAACAAGUAGAGAGACGUUUUGAAGCUAAGCAGUUUGUCUCUAGAGCUUAAGCUCCUAAUGCUAUUCCAUUGGAACUCUUGGUAUUAGUAUAAGUAAAGAGAUUCAUUUGAGUCAGAUGGCUAAAGUAAAUUAAUGGCUGAUUGCUCUGCUCAAAGUAGAGAAAUAAGCUCAAUAAAUUCCAUCUAUCCUUACAUUUUUAAAGAUUUCACCAGAAGAAAACAGCUUCCAAGCCUAACCUCAGGUGAGAUGCAAAACCAAAGUUUUUCUCUUUUUUAAAAAUCUUUAUCUGUUUUAGUCAAAGACCCCAGAUUUUUACAGAGUAGUUGUUACAGAAUAUUUACUGCCCACCAAUUAUUCCAUACACCUCCCUACACUUCCAGCCUUCUUUGCCUGUAUGCUGGAGCCAUGGAUCUAGCUUUGCCAAUGGAUACUGACAGAAAAUACAUGUUUUAUGUCUGGGCUGGGACAGUGAGUUCCUCUUUUUCCAGUGGUAUCCUUAGAAUCCACUUCAGAUGACAGAGCUGUAAGACAUAGAAGUGCUGCCUCCAUAUGCACUGAAAUUAGAGUUUAUGUAAAACUCUGAUUGUAUCAAGUGACUAAGAUUUGGGAAUCAUUGUUGCUGCAUUGUAGCCUAACCGAAUCUGACUGACUAAAGUUUGUCAGUGAGUUAAAAAUGCAGCUAUGUAUCCAUCUAUGCAUGUCUUUCUGGUCACCUUGGAGACACCCUUCCUUGGAAGGCAGAAAGUGUUUUGUGUGCGAACCAUUAGCAGGAUGCCCAAUACCGGCCCUCAUCCAGAGUGACCUAACAGCAUGAACAGCCCUCUGUGAGCUUAGAACGUAAAUUUUCCAUGGUGGUCACCAUUGUUCCUGUGUGUUGAGGCAAGUCAGAAAAAACUGCACUGCUCUUUGGCAGAAUGCCAGGAAAAUGAUCUGGAAUAAAGUUAAUAUUUAAACAAAAUUAUGUACUAUCUAAUCUCCUGUUAUAAUCUGGGAAUUUAUUAGAGUAAUCUGAGAAAGCCAAGCCCCCUUCCCUUGUCUUUAAAGACCCAAAAUCAUAUCUCACAGUUAAAAGAAAUUUUUUUAAAAUUAAGUGUCUCAAUUCAGAAGAUUUCUAAGCAACUCACAUGUUCUGGCCACAAGUAAAUUUUCCCUCAUACAAAUACACAAACUUAAAGGAAAUAUUAAAUGCCAAAUAACAAUAGUUAUCAGCCCAUCUGUGAUCCUCUAUUCUGAGAAUUUGUCAUUACGCCUUUCAAGUUAUCUCCAAAUCCCACCUGCUUUCAGAUCCUCAGAAGCUGGCUUUCUGUUUUGCUAUGAUUGCUCAAUAGAAAAGCAACAGAU
rnacentral:lncRNA from 1 species